CCCAGGCCCUCCCGGAGGCGCUGACCCCUCGCUCAUCAAAGGUCAGGGGCCGGCCUAGAAUCGGGCGAGAAGAAAGGGACGCGCCCUCGGCCACUAAAAGGAGCCUGAGGCCUCCGAACCGGAGCCAUCGCUCCCUGGGCCCCGUCCACGUCACAGCCAGGCCACUCAAGCAUGGGGACAGGAGCCAAUGUGGACAGGAAUUUAUUGGAAACACACACCCAUCCUAUUAACUGCUUUACAGAGCACUUCUGUUUUUCAGUUGCAGAAACUUAUAAAAACAUCCCCCUGCUCUCCGUUGAGAGUUUAAGGAUAGUUUUUGAGGCCAGAGAAAGAGAAAAGGAGAGAUCACUAGAAAGAUAGGAAGAAAAGAAGUGGGAAGAAAAGGAGAUGCAGUCUACCAUGUAAGCCUCCAGGCUCCUUAGCCUCACCUUAUAAAGCCACAUCACCGCAGAGAUAGCAAAGAUCGUGCCCUUUCCCAGGGAGUUCCUACCGCCAGGGUAAGAUUUAAAGCGGCCACCCCAGUUGGUCAAAGUGAUUGCUGGGCGCCUUUCUAUCUCCCCAAGUUCACCUUUUCCAGUUGGUCAAAGCGAUUGCUGGGCGCCUUCUAUCUCCCCAAGUCCACCUUUUUCCAUUCUCAUCUGAAAGCCAGCCCCAAAGAAAUCUCACCGGAAGUCCUCUGUCCUCCCUGUCAGAAUCCCACCCUCAGUCUGAAUUUACUCCCGAUUCUCACAGCACAGAAAGGCACCUGCUUUUACCCUUUCUGAAAACCACCCACCCAGGCUGGCCUUACAGCCUGGAGAGUCUUUUCCUCGGGCACAAUAAUGAACCAUGCAAGUGUUAGAAAUAUAAUCAGCUCAUGAGGCGAAGAGCAGUAUGUAUGGAAUUGUAUUAGCAUGAGGCACACACUGACUCGGGAGAAAAAGGGAUGCUUAGCUGGUGAAAACCAUCACAUCCCCGUAUAGAAGGCUUUUUGCACAAUGUAAGUUGGGUUCAGAUUAAUGUAAGUAUCUAACCUGUUGGGUACAGACAGCCCCUUUCUACAUUUUAGUCCAGAAUAGAUUCUGGGGAAAUUUAUUUAUUUAUUUAUUUAUUUCAGCUAAGGCCCUGGGAGAAAAGACUGCCUCCAGGGAAUCAUGUCCGAUUAGGGACAAAGGAGGGCACAAGCCCAAUUCAGUCACACGUGAGAGCACGGGGGCCGGGUGGGGGGAGUUAAGAGCCAACAGGGAAGGUGGAGGAUGAGUUUGCAAACCAGACUAUGGUCACUGCAGAGCUGCUUCCAGACCACCUGACUUCAGGCCCAAGAACAGGUGGUGUUUUCAAAACACACUGUUAUUUAUAUUGGCCAUAUAAGUUGAGAACACCUUAAAGAAAACAAUUAAUAAUUUAAUUGAAAAAGUGACUAUGAAUAAGACAUGAAGAUGACGUAUGCUAGCAGGACCGCAAGCAACGUGGCCCACAACGCAGAGAUGCCUCUGGCAAUCUCUCCGGAAAAACGAAGAUUCCUUACCUGGGAUAGGGGACAACCUCGUAAUCUGGUGACAUCAUGAUCCUGGUAGGCCCACAGACAAAUACCUUCAAUAAAAUAAAAGCUAGAAAGCCCAAAGAACAAGCUAUUAAAGUAACCUGGGAGGAUGCAGCACUGCCUGGGCAGAAGGCCCGGACGGGAUCUGCCCUAAUACUGCCACUGUCCCAAGAGGCAGACCCUGCAACCUGCCUCCUGCACUUGAGAGGCCUGACAAGUAGAACUGAGAGUGACCCUGAGUUCCUUUUCUUUAUCUGGCACCAGCUACACACAUGAUGAGGCCUAGUCAAGCCUGCCUUUGUUCCAGGCAAAAAUUUAACAGGUAAUCCACAGGCAGGUGAUCUAUGGCCUCUGUACAUUAUGGAAAUGAGGGACUACACACAAGCUGGGUGUCACCUCUACUAAAACUCAUUUUCCUUAUUCAUAAAAACAAUACCUCUUCAGAGGGAAUUGGCAACUUCUGCACUUACAUAUGAAAUCAGGAGUUCCUCUGAAAUACUCCUUGCAAAUUCUAUCCUCCAGCUCUGGAAGCCCUGGCUCUUCGGAGGGCAGCUGCCUGAUGUUAAACCCAUGGCCUACCCAGCAGUGACAGCCUGACAUUCUCAUCGCUCCAUCCUGAACACUGCUGACAAAUAAACCCACUCUCAGAAAAGGCAA